GACCACUAUUAGCUGGGGUUUGUCUGC
rnacentral:piRNA from 1 species